GAUGCUAAGCCACCAGUGUGUAAAAUUGUAGACUACGCACAUGACAAGUACAAAAAUGAUCAAGUAGGAAAGGAGCGUGCUAAGGCCAAGCGGGCUGAAGUAACCAUUAGACCAGAGGUCAAGGAUAUUCAUUUUACUCCAAAGAUUGUAUGUUUCUCUUGAAACCACUCUCUGUUUCUUA